CGCGGCCUAUCAGCUUGUUGGUGGGGUAAUGGCCUACCAAGGCGACGACGGGUAGCCGGCCUGAGAGGGCGACCGGCCACACUGGGACUGAGACACGGCCCAGACUCCUACGGGAGGCAGCAGUGGGGAAUAUUGCACAAUGGGGGAAACCCUGAUGCAGCGACGCCGCGUGAGGGAUGACGGCCUUCGGGUUGUAAACCUCUUUCAGUAGGGAAGAAGCCUUCGGGUGACGGUACCUGCAGAAGAAGUACCGGCUAACUACGUGCCAGCAGCCGCGGUAAUACGUAGGGUACAAGCGUUGUCCGGAAUUAUUGGGCGUAAAGAGCUCGUAGGCGGUUCGUCGCGUCUGCUGUGGAAACGCAAGGCUCAACCUUGCGCGUGCAGUGGGUACGGGCGGACUAGAGUGCAGUAGGGGAGUCUGGAAUUCCUGGUGUAGCGGUGAAAUGCGCAGAUAUCAGGAGGAACACCGGUGGCGAAGGCGGGACUCUGGGCUGUAACUGACGCUGAGGAGCGAAAGCAUGGGGAGCGAACAGGAUUAGAUACCCUGGUAGUCCAUGCCGUAAACGUUGGGCACUAGGUGUGGGGCUCAUUCCACGAGUUCCGCGCCGCAGCUAACGCAUUAAGUGCCCCGCCUGGGGAGUACGG
rnacentral:rRNA from 1 species